CCUACGGGAGGCAGCAGUGGGGAAUUUUCCGCAAUGGGCGAAAGCCUGACGGAGCAAUACCGCGUGAGGGAUGAAAGCCUGUGGGUUGUAAACCUCUUUUCUCAAGGAAGAAGUUCUGACGGUACUUGAGGAAUAAGCAUCGGCUAACUCUGUGCCAGCAGCCGCGGUAAUACAGAGGAUGCAAGCGUUAUCCGGAAUCACUGGGCAUAAAGCGUCUGUAGGUUGCCUACCAAGUCUGCUGUUAAAGAUCGGGGCCUAACCCUGAGAAAGCAGUGGAAACUAGUAGGCUUGAGUGUGGUAGAGGUAGAGGGAAUUCCUGGUGUAGCGGUGAAAUGCGUAGAUAUUAGGAAGAACACCAACGGCGAAAGCACUCUACUGGGCCAUAACUGACACUGAGAGACGACAGCUAGGGGAGCAAAUGGGAUUAGAUACCCCAGUAGCCCUAGCCGUAAACGAUGGAUACUAGGUGUUGCACGUAUUAACCCGUGCAGUAUCGUAGCUAAGGCGUUAAGUAUCCGCCUGGGAAGUACGCUCGCAAGAGUGAAACUCAAAGGAAUUGACGG
rnacentral:rRNA from 1 species